UGAUUUCUCUCCCGCCUGAAGUGUUCUAAUAAGCUCCGACGUUGAGAGACGUUGUUCAGGGCGCCAAUUGCUGCAGGCCUUGAUGAUGGAGUACCUACAGAACAUGUGAGUUGGAGCAGGUGGCUGGCUGUUUGAGAUGCUUUCCUCUUUGUAGAUACUGCAGAAGUUCAUUCGCCACGAUCUGGGCAAAUGCACUUCUGGGGCCUGCCACUUCCUCAUCUCCAUGUCCUGCCCCGGUGUAACGGCCUGUGUUCUCCUGCGGUAGGCUGGGCCCAAUCCCCACAGCUUCGCUGUCAGAUCUCCAUCAACCAGAACGCUGUGUGCUCCCACGUUGCCAUGGAUGCAGUUCUGACUGUGUACCCCAGCAGAUCCCUGUGCUGCAGCUCUUCGACGACCAUCAUGAGGGGCGGCUGCACUGAAACCACACCCAGCAGCUCAGGUUGGCCACACCCACCCCCAACUCCUUGCCACUCUUAUCACCUCCACACACCUUGCACUCAGUAUUUUAUUUGCAUGUAUGUUUGUGUCCCUGUUCAUGUUUUUUAAUGUGUGCAUCAAGUUUACAGACAGCUGGCUGUGUUUGUCAACUCGACAGACUUAAGGUUACUAGGUGGAGGUGCAACAGGACGCAUUUUUCUGUCACCAAUGACACGUUUAACGUUGUAUCUUAUAAUGGUCGAGGCGAAAUAUCAAAACCAAAGAACUUCUAUACAAACAAUUGAAUGUACUUUAAUGUGAAGGGAAAAUGUUAAGAUAUUAUUAGAAUUGUCUUCUU